UUACUUACCUGGACGGAGUCUAUAGGUGAUCAAGAAGUCCUAUGGCUUAGGUUAGUGGGCUACAUUGCACUUUGUAGUGGCGCUCGUCUAAGGUCAGCCCGUUGUGGUUUGAGCCUACGUCAUAAUUUGUGGCAGUGGGGGCUUGCGUUCGCGCAGCCCCUUC